UACGGAGGAUGCGAGCGUUAUCCGGAUUUAUUGGGUUUAAAGGGUGCGUAGGCGGACUGUCAAGUCAGCGGUAAUAUUGAGAGGCUCAACCUCUUCCCGCCGUUGAAACUGGUGGUCUUGAGUGGAUGAGAAGUACGCGGAAUGCGUGGUGUAGCGGUGAAAUGCAUAGAUAUCACGCAGAACUCCGAUUGCGAAGGCAGCGUACCGGCAUCCAACUGACGCUGAGGCACGAAAGCGUGGGGAUCAAACAGG
rnacentral:rRNA from 1 species